rnacentral:rRNA from 1 species
UACGUAGGGUCCAAGCGUUAAUCGGAAUUACUGGGCGUAAAGCGUGCGCAGGCGGUUUUGUAAGACGGAUGUGAAAUCCCCGGGCUCAACCUGGGAACUGCAUUCGUGACUGCAAGGCUAGAGUGUGUCAGAGGGAGGUGGAAUUCCGCGUGUAGCAGUGAAAUGCGUAGAGAUGCGGAGGAACACCGAUGGCGAAGGCAGCCUCCUGGGAUAACACUGACGCUCAUGCACGAAAGCGUGGGGAGCAAACAGG